CGUGGAGACAGGUGGUGCAUGGCUGUCGUCAGCUCGUGUCGUGAGAUGUUGGGUUAAGUCCCGCAACGAGCGCAACCCUCACCUCUUGUUGCCAUCAGGCCAUGCUGGGCACUCUAGAGGAACUGCCCCGGUCAACGGGGAGGAAGGCGGGGGUGACGUCAAGUCAUCAUGCCCCUUACGUCCUGGGCUACACACGUGCUACAAUGGCCGGUACAAAGGGAUGCCACACCGCGAGGUAGAGCUAAACCCAAAAAGCCGGUCUAAGUUCAGAUUGGAGUCUGCAACUCGACUCCAUGAAGGAGGAAUCGCUAGUAAUCGCGUAUCAGCACGACGCGGUGAAUACGUUCCCGGGCCUUGUACACACCGCCCGUCACACCACGAAAGCCUGCUGUACUCGAAGUCGCUGAG
rnacentral:rRNA from 1 species